rfam:Myotis lucifugus cont2.35646, whole genome shotgun sequence.
CGUGCACCGGUGGGGUCCCUCGGCCUGGCCUGCACCCUCUUGCAAUCCAGGACCCCUUGGGAGAUCUUGGAGAGCCGAUUUCAGCCCUAUCUCUGCAGGCCAGGCCGAGGGACCCCACCGGUGCACA